UUUUGAGCUUGUUUUCUUAUUACUCUUCCGUAAGGGCUGGAAGGAGUCCUCUGUCAUCAUUAGUGGAGAUAAGUGGAAAAAGGCAAGCUAGCUAUUAAAUUUGAGAUCCAUCAAUUUUCAAUUCAGUCGUUUUCUUUGGAAAACCUCUUCUUGGCUAGGGUUACUUGCAAAAAAAACAAAAAAAGAAAAUCAAUGUUUUGCUUAAUUGUAUCCUUACUAUUUAAAAGUUGGCAAUUUUGAUAUGUGGUUUGUGAAUGACUCUACAUUUUAGUUCUUUUUAUUCUAAAUUUAUAAAUUUUUCAUUCACUUUAGUCACUAACAUUUUGAAUUAAAUUGCUGUUUAGUCUCCAAAAUUUUAAAAUUUAAUUGCACUUUAAUCCGUGAAUUUUUGUAUUGUAAAGGUACACUAAUCCCUCAAAAGCCUGUUAUUAUCCACUUAGGGAGCAUUUGGUAUAAGGUUAAAAAAAUAAAGGUUAGGUGCCACUCCUAUAAGUUUUAAAGAAGUAAUUGUUAAAGAGGUACAAAAUAAUUAAUGAUGUAAUAGUUAAUGGUGUUUGAUAGAAUGGGAUAAAUAAUUUAUUGUUUAACAGUUAAUAGUAUGUUGGGGAAAAAAAUUGGAAGGUGUCUUAUUAGCAUCUGUUAAGCCUUGUUAACCUAGUAAAUUAAUAUUCCUUAAUCUUUUCAAAUAUUAUUUCCGUUAAGCAGUCUAGCUUACAGCUUAAGUUGGCUCAACAUCUGAAUCAAUGAUAAUAGUAUCCACAUUCUUGACUGUUAUUGCAUCUGUGAGGUGGAAGCUUGUUUUAAUCUUUAUACUGGUCUUUAAUACAGUUUAUUUUUCUAGCUAGACUACUCCUUUGUCCUUUAUCAAUAGAUUGUUUCAUCUUUUUUCAAACAAUCUAAUCUUUAUAUAGAGACAAAUGACACAACAGGCUUUCUACUUGAUUAUUGACCUUGAAAGACGUUCUACUUCCAUUUAUAGAAUGAAAAACCCAAGAUAGAUAUUAUUGUUGCAGUCACAUUUUUCAAGCCCUUAUCACAGUGCUUAUUGAAAAAAUUUAUUUGUGAUUGCAGUGAUACUAUAUAGUAUCACUCUACCAAUUGAAUCUUGGGACAUUACUGGUACUGUAAUUAAGGGAUUUGAUCGUGACUUGAAGGUUCUUGCCUCUUGGGAUCACCACUGGUAUUGAAAACCUUUUCUUUCUAUUUCUUUGGUUUAUGCAGUUACAAUUAUUUUUUCCCUGUUCAUUUGACCAUGUGUGUUUUAUAAUUUCAAGGCCAAUUUACAUAUGGGUAUUUGCUGCCUUCUGAUGCAGUGUUCAAUGACUUGCUUUGUAUUUCUCCAUUACUUGAUUAACUAUUUUCCAUCUCAUCUUUUAUCAUGUUUGUUAUUUGUUUUAUCUAAAGUAUAUUCAGAAAAUUAUACAACUGUAUUUCCAUAAUGUUGCUCAAGCUUAAAUUUUGAUGUUACUGGCAUUCUACUCACUAAAUUGGUCAAUAACCAUUGAUAGAAGUUUAAUGCUCAACUUAUAAUGGACUUGAUACAAGUUUACAUAGGAUCCAUGGUUGAUGAAUUUGAUUAGGAUUUGUAUGGCUAGGAAUUGCCACUUUUUAUAGUUGGUCAUACUUGACUGGGAAACGUGACCGAUUGGUAUUCUUUUUGUAAUAUUUUUAUUUGCUUCCUCUUCUCUUCUUAGUAUUGUGGUUCCAGAACAUAACUGGUCAAUUUCCAAUCACUGUGCUUGAUAGCAAAGAUUCAGGAGGAGAGAAGAAUUGCAGAGGAAGUCAUUGAUCAUCUGUUGCAUUUAAAGGAGGGGGAUGAUCCAUAUUUGAGAGGCACUCUGCUGUAGGUGAUGAGAAUCAUCCAUAAAUUUCUUGAAAUCUAGUGAUGAGAGUUCACGUAAUGAACAGCUUUUACUCAAUUGGAAAAAGCUUAUGUUGUGACAGUAUAUUAUUUUAGGGAUGGGAUGUUGUGCCAAUCCCAUAAACACAAGUGUCCUGAAAUGAUAUCUGGGAAGCCUGAUUUAUUUGUGCUGGAUAAUGUGUUAUUGACUUGAAUCCCGGAAAGAAUGAUGUUUCACUCCAUA
rnacentral:misc_RNA from 1 species